rnacentral:rRNA from 1 species
UACGUAGGUGGCAAGCGUUGUUCGGAAUUACUGGGCGUAAAGGGCGCGUAGGCGGUCUGCUAAGUUGGGUGUGAAAACUCUGGGCUUAACCCAGAGCCUGCAUUCAAAACUGACAGGCUAGAGUUCUGGAGGGGAUAGCGGAAUUCCUGGUGUAGCGGUGAAAUGCGUAGAUAUCAGGAGGAACACCGGUGGCGAAGGCGGCUAUCUGGACAGAGUCUGACGCUGAGGCGCGAAAGCUAGGGGAGCAAACAGG